rnacentral:rRNA from 1 species
UACGGAGGGGGCAAGCGUUGUUCGGAUUUACUGGGCGUAAAGGGCGCGUAGGCGGUCAGCACAAGUCAGUUGUGAAAUCUCCGGGCUUAACUCGGAAAGGUCAACUGAUACUGUGCGACUAGAGUGCGGAAGGGGCAACUGGAAUUCUCGGUGUAGCGGUGAAAUGCGUAGAUAUCGAGAGGAACACCUGCGGCGAAGGCGGGUUGCUGGGCCGACACUGACGCUGAUGCGCGAAAGCCAGGGGAGCGAACGGG